CACAAGCUACUAAAUGACAACCCCCAUAGGGGGCAAAUUUAACAAGAAAUGCUUAAGCAAAAGUCCUACUACAUUUCAAAUAACUUUCAAAUGCCCCCAAAUCGUAUUUAGCUGCAUUAGCGCAUGAUUCCAUUAGCAGGAAUAAAUCAAAGAAGUGACAAGCACACAAUUUCAACAACAUUACUGAAGGGAAUCGGCUGUAAGGACUGGAUGAUGGUUUACAACCACAGGAGGCCGAAGAGCUUUGUGAUUAGCUACAUUUUCCUUGCGUGCCUUGUACAUCUCUUCAGUCUCAA
rnacentral:lncRNA from 1 species